AAAGUCGUAACAAGGUUUCCGUAGGUGAACCUGCGGAAGGAUCAUUAAAUUUCCCCUAAGGAGUCCGAAAGGGCCCUCGGCCGCCGCGAGGCGGUGCCUGAACCCUCUGCCUACAUGUACCUCUUGUUGUUUCCUCGGCAGGCUUGCCUGCCGCAAGGAAUCCCUUAAACCCUUUGCAUCUUAAAGUAUCUAAAUAUCCGAUAACAACCUAAUUAUCACAACUUUCAACAAUGGAUCUCUUGGUUCUG
rnacentral:misc_RNA from 1 species